rnacentral:rRNA from 1 species
AUUGAACGCUGGCGGCAUGCCUUACACAUGCAAGUCGAACGGCAGCACGGGUGCUUGCUCCUGGUGGCGAGUGGCGAACGGGUGAGUAAUACAUCGGAACAUGUCCUGUAGUGGGGGAUAGCCCGGCGAAAGCCGGAUUAAUACCGCAUACGAUCUACGGAUGAAAGCGGGGGACCUUCGGGCCUCGCGCUUUCGGGUUGGCCGAUAGCUGAUUAGCUAGUUGGUGGGGUAAAGGCCUACCAAGGCGACGAUCAGUAGCUGGUCUGAGAGGACGACCAGCCACACUGGGACUGAGACACGGCCCAGACUCCUACGGGAGGCAGCAGUGGGGAAUUUUGGACAAUGGGCGAAAGCCUGAUCCAGCAAUGCCGCGUGUGUGAAGAAGGCCUUCGGGUUGUAAAGCACUUUUGUCCGGAAAGAAAUCCUUGGCUCUAAUACAGUCGGGGGAUGACGGUACCGGAAGAAUAAGCACCGGCUAACUACGUG